GGGGGGGGGGGGGGGGGGGGGGGGGGGGGGGGGGGCGGGGGGGAGGGGGCUGGGUUGGGGGGGUGCUCGGGUGGCGGAGGGGGGGGUGAGACGUGCGUGGCGUGCCCUGGACUUUGGGCUGACUUCGGGAAACGGGGGCUAGGACCGGAGAGGCGCUCCUGCGGCAUGGUGGGGGUUGGAGAGUUUCGGCGGUUGGGGAUGGACUCGCGGCUUAUCAGCUUGUUGGUGGGGUAGUGGCUUACCCAGGCUUUGACGGGUAGCCGGCCUGAGAGGGUGACCGGCCACAUUGGGACUGAGAUACGGCCCAGACUCCUACGGGAGGCAGCAGUGGGGAAUAUUGCACAAUGGGCGGAAGCCUGAUGCAGCAACGCCGCGUGCGGGAUGACGGCCUUCGGGUUGUAAACCGCUUUCGCCUGUGACGAAGCGUGAGUGACGGUAAUGUGUAAAGAAGCACCGGCUAACUACGUG
rnacentral:rRNA from 1 species